rnacentral:rRNA from 1 species
AGGAAGGAGAGUCGUAACAAGGUUUCUGUAGGUGAACCUACGAAAUGAUCAUUG